CCUACCUUCGCCUCUUUGCAAUAUUCUCAAGGAUGCCCCUGGGACACAGACCAAGGCACCAGAGAAGGAAGUACUAUCGAAGCUCCUCCUUACUACUGAGAAUGGUGAAGAGGCAGAGAGGAUGAACUCAAAAGCAGCAUGCUUUAUUCCAACCCGGAAUAUAGUUAGAUAAGGUGUGCAGCCUUGACCCGAGUGUCACGUGGAAGAAACAAGGUCCUGCUGCCCUCAUGGUUGCUCACUGAUGCCCUCCUUGCCUUCUUUUCUCAGAACUUGUCUUCAGCGGUUUGGCGAUCUUUCACAGUAGUUGGGAAACAGGAGAAGUAAGAUUAUUAAACAACAAUUGCCAUUCUUUCUGCUCCUCCACUCUAUAAUCCAUCUGAAUCCUGAAAAUCCCAAGUCAAAGCACCCCAUCUCUAAUGCCACAUUGUCUGGGACAGAAAUACAUACAGAAAAGGGACAGAUACAAAGCGCUACCCUGGACUCAUCAUGACAACUGUCGUAAGAGGACCUCCGCAGCAGUGCUGCUAGGUGUGAGAGAUGCAUCUGUUGCUUGUGAAGUGGGAACAGGGAGCAGGUGAAAGGGGAAGCGGGAAGCGGAACACAGCCGUGACCUCCUGUCAGCAGGCGCUGUCUUAGAUCAGUUUUAGGAAAGGCAGUUCUUGCUUUCCUUCAGUCUCUCGUGCUUGUGAGCCUCUUGUGCCCCUUGCCCUGAUCCAAGGGCCCCUGAUGCUGAGGGAUGACCGUGGACUUCCGAACUCCAGCCCCACUAUUUACUGAGCAGCUGUGUGCUGCGUGACAUGGGGGUGGUGACACCUACCUCGCAGGGGUUCUGAGAAGAGUAAAUUGAUUAAAGGACUUCGU
rnacentral:lncRNA from 1 species